AGAGCGGGCUAGACGGUCGCCGGAGUGUGCCCUCGGGCACAGCUUCGGAGGAAAGUCCGGUCACCAGAGGGCAAGGACGCUGGCUAACGGCCAGGCAGGGCGACCUGACGGAAAGCGCCACAGAGAGUAGACCGCUGCGCUAGCUUGGCUAGGGCAGUAAGGGUGAAAGGGUGGGGUAAGAGCCCACCAGACGGCCGGGCGACCGGCUGUGCUAGGCAAGCCCCGUUCGGUGCAAGCCCAGACAGGGGAAGAUGACGCGGCCCGCCGAUUCCCCGGGUAGGGUGCACGAGGCGGUCGGUAACGGCCGUCCCAGAGAGAUGACCGUCCACGACAGAAACCGGCUUAUCGGCCCGCUCUCCGC
rnacentral:RNase_P_RNA from 1 species